AGUGUCGCGAAAGGUCGCGAAAUCAUUGAAAGGCUGGCAACACCAAAGAGCAGUCUCUCUGACGUGAUACGGUAAGGAAUUUGCCGCCAUCUAGGAAUGUUGUCUUGGAAGACCACAGUCCGUAUAACACAGAACAUUACAAG